AACGAACGCUGGCGGCAUGCCUAACACAUGCAAGUCGAACGAGACCUUCGGGUCUAGUGGCGCACGGGUGCGUAACGCGUGGGAACUUGCCCUUAGGUUCGGAAUAACUCCCCGAAAGGGGUGCUAAUAACGGUUAAUGUCUUCGGACCAAGGAUUUAUCGCCUCUGGAUGGGCCCGCGUUAGAUUAGCUAGUUGGUAGGGUAAAAGCCUACCAAGGCGACGAUCCAUAGCUGGUCGGUGAGGAUGAUCAGCAGCACUGGCGCUGAGACCCGGACCAGAAUCGGACGGAGGGGAGCAGAGGGGAAUAUAGGGGGAUGGGCGCAGACGUGGUACAGCAAUGCCGGGUGAGUGAUGAAGGCCGUAGGGUUGUAAAGCUGUUUUACACGGGGUGAUAAUGACGGUACCGGGAGAAUAAGCUCCGGCUAACUACGUG
rnacentral:rRNA from 1 species